CCGGACUUCCGGGCUGAGCAGCCUCUGCUUCCGGGCAGGACUCAGCCAAUGUAGACCAAGAUGUCGUCUUCCCGUGUUGCCUCCAGAGCAGUCACUUUUGGAGAUUCAUCUGAAGUAAGUGCAUCUGAAGAAACUCUCAUAACGCUUGGGAGAGCAAGAUGAUUGUCGAAGAUGCAAGGUGAAACGUUUCGACUAUCACGUUUCAAAAGCAGAGGGCGUGAUUGGAAGUUACAAAGUUAUGUUCCUAAUAUCCAAAAGUACUGGAUUUGAAUAGUCCCAUUAAAAAAAAAAAAGCCAGGAUAGUUUUAACAGGAAUGCUUCACUUUCACAUUAAAAGAGUGAAGAUGAAAAUGUGGUCGGAUGAUGGGUAAAGGAUUCCCUUUCAGACACAUGUGCUGAAGUUGGAGUUGAGCUAGGUGGUUCUCUGGGUCUUUGAGAAACCUACCGGAAAGUGCCAUGAUCCCCAGAGAGGAAAACCUCUCAGUAAGUACAGUGUUUUAUUAUCUUGACACUUUGAGAUGUUCUUAACUGCAAUCAUUUAAAAGAGG
rnacentral:lncRNA from 1 species